rfam:Brassica napus, WGS project CCCW01000000 data, contig: 9610
AAUCCGUGGUGUGGACAGUCUCUCGCUGGAAGAACCUAAAUCUAUUCCACGCAUCUUUGAAGGACUCUCCAGCCUCCUGCGAGAAUGUGGAAAUUUUGUUCCGAAGUU